GACGACGCUGGCGGCGUGCCUAAUACAUGCAAGUAGGACGAGUUGCGACCGGGUGAGUAACGCGUGGUAACCUGCCCAUUAGAGGGGGACUACUAUUGGAAACGAUAGCUAAUACCGCAUACUAGGAGAUGGACCUGCGUUGUAUUCGCUAGUAGGGGGGGUAAAGGCGCACCUAGGAGACGAUCCCUAGCUGGGCUGAGAGGAUGAUCAGCCACACGGGAACUUAGACACGGUCCAGACUGCUACGGGAGGCGUCAGUAGGGAAUCUUGCACAAUGGGCGCAAGCCUGAUGCAGCCAUGCCGCGUGUAGGAAGGAGGCCUUCGGGUUGUAAAGUACGUUCAGCGGUGAGGCGUUACCCGCAGAAGAAGCAGCGGCUAACGCCGUGCCAGCAGCCGCGGUAAUAC
rnacentral:rRNA from 1 species